UUUGUUGGAUGGACCUCCCUUCGAGGACUGAGAUGAUUAAAACCCAGCGCUUGAUCUCAGAUUCACACACUCAUUCUCUCGCUCUGGACGCAUGGGGUUUUUCUUCCGUCCUGUAGGUCAAAUGGCGAAACCAUACGAGUUCAACUGGCAGUGGCCUGUUCCUCAUUUCAUGCAGGAAGGAGCAUAUUUUGACAGAUUUGAUGAGGAUCCGUUUGUCUUCGAAUCGAACUGUUUUUUCAAAGUGGAUGCGUUUGGAUUCUUCCUGACGUGGAAAAGUGAGGGAAAGGAGGGUCAAGUUUUAGAGCUUUCUCUUAUCAACAGCAUACGAGACACCAGUGUGCCAAAGGACCCAAAGAUCGUCUCGGCGUUGGAGGCGACGGGAAACUGUGAGAGUAACCUCGAGGACCGAAUCAUCUGCAUAUGCAGCGGCACAGACCUGGUGAACCUGAGCUUCAUGUGCAUGGUCACACAGAACAGCAGCACUGCGAAGCAAUGGAUGGACGGCUUGCGGUCAUUGAUUCAAAACUCUCGAGCGAAUAACGUGUGUCCGAUGACCUGCAUGAGAAAACACUGGAUGCGCUUGUCAUUUUUGACCAAUGUGAAUGGAAAAAUACCGGUGAGGAGUAUCACAAGAACCUUUGCCUCGGGCAAAACAGAGAAGGGUAUCUUUCAGGCGCUCAAGGAUCUCGGUUUACCCAGUGGAAAGAACGAUGAAAUCGAGCAUGAGAUCUUCAAAUUUGACAAGUUCUACAGCCUUACGCAGAAGAUUUGCCCCAGAACUGAUAUUGAAGCACUGUUCAAGACACUCAGGAGAGACAAAAGCGAUUAUUUAAGCGUAGACCAGUUAGUCUACUUUCUGAACGAAAAUCAGAGAGAUCCACGUCUGAAUGAAAUACUCUUCCCGUUCAUCGACUCUAAAUGUGCUUUCCAAAUCAUACAGCGAUAUGAACCAGAUGACAAACUGAAGAGGAAAGGUCUGAUGUCAUGUGAUGGGUUCUGCCGGUAUCUAAUGUCUGAUGAAAACGCUCCUGUGUUUCUGGAUCGGCUGGAGGUUUAUCAGGAGAUGGAUCAUCCGCUGUCUCAUUACUUCAUCAACUCGUCUCAUAACACGUACCUGACCGGCAGACAGUUUGGAGGGAAGUCGUCAGUGGAGAUGUACAGACAGGUGCUUCUGACCGGCUGCAGGUGUGUUGAGUUGGACUGCUGGGAUGGAAAAGGUGAAGAUCAGGAACCCAUAAUCACCCACGGCAAGGCCAUGUGCACAGACGUCCUCUUCAAGGACGUCAUUCAGGGAAUUAAAGAAAUGGCCUUCCUGACAUCAGAGUAUCCGGUUAUCCUGUCCUUCGAAAACCACUGCACGAAACAUCAGCAGUAUAAACUGGCACGCUACUGCGAGGACAUUUUUGGAGAUUUGCUGCUGAAACAGCCGUUAGAUGAUUUCCCGAUGGAGGCCGGAUCUCCGCUGCCGUCUCCAAAUGACCUCAAAGGAAAAAUCCUGAUCAAGAACAGAAGAUUAAAACCUGAAGUUGAAAAAAAACAGCUGGAGCACUUCAGGAAGCACAUGGAGGCCGGAGAGCCGAGCAUCUCCACAAACAUGUCUGAAGAUGAGAAUGAGGAGGAGACGUCCACCGCAGAGCUGCUGAACGAAGCUCAUCCCGAGCGGAUUCACGGAUGUCUGAUCACUGAGGAAGAGAGUCGUGAGGAAGAGGCGCUCCGACCCAGAAAGUCUGGUGAGACGAAUGUGGCUGACGAACAAGCCCUGAUUCAGUCGUACACGUAUGUGGCAGCCACCACUAACAUCCAUCCGUAUCUGUCCAACAUCGUCAACUACGCGCAGGCCGUCAAGUUCACCAGCUUUGAUGAAGCUGAAGAAGAAAAUAUCCACCACCACAUGUCUUCCUUCAACGAGUCUGUCGGUUUGGGAUAUUUAAGGACAAACGCCAUCGAGUUCGUGAACUACAACAAACGGCAGAUGAGUCGCAUCUACCCCAAAGGAGGCCGAGUGGACUCCAGUAAUUAUAUGCCACAGAUCUUCUGGAACGCCGGCUGCCAGAUGGUAGCGCUGAACUUCCAGACCCCAGAUUUGGCGAUGCAGCUCAAUCAAGGGAAGUUUGAAUAUAACGGCUCACGCGGGUUUCUGCUGAAGCCUGAUUUCAUGCGGCGGCCCGAUCGAAUGUUCGACCCGUUCUCAGAGACGCCUGUGGACGGAGUGAUCGCAGCCACCUGCAGCGUCCAGGUGAUUUCAGGCCAGUUUCUGUCGGAUAAGAAGAUCGGCACGUACGUAGAGGUGGACAUGUACGGCCUGCCCACGGACACCAUCCGGAAAGAGUUUCGCACGAGGAUGGUGAUGAACAAUGGCCUGAAUCCCGUCUACAGCGGAGAAGCGUUCGUCUUCAGGAAGGUGAUCCUCCCAGACCUGGCUGUGCUGCGAGUGGCUGUGUACGACGACAACAAUAAGCUGAUCGGACAGCGCAUUCUCCCGCUGGACGGACUGCAGUCGGGUUACAGGCACAUCUCCCUACGAAACGAGUACAACAAGCCUCUGUCUCUGGCCACUGUCUUCUGCAGAAUCAUCCUCAAGACAUACGUACCCGACGGCUUCGGAGCGAUUGCAGAUGCCCUGUCUGAUCCCAAGAAGUUCGUAUCGGUCUGUGAGAAAAGAACAGACCAAAUGAGAGCCAUGGGCAUUGAGAUGUCAGAUAUUGCCGAUGUGCCGAAUGACGGCUGGAUGGGGAGCAGGAAGCGGAAGGCGAUGCUGCAGCAGAAAGACUCCGAGAGACUGAGAGCAGCGCCGGGACAGAGCCCACUCAUCUGCUGCAAAGAGGAUACAUCAGUGCUCGCACCUCAGCUGACCAUCGAUGACCUAAAGCAGACAAAGACUUACUUGAAGCUUGUCAAGAAGCAGCAGAAGGACAUAUGUGCUUUGAAGAAAAAGCAGGCGAAGGCCCAUGUCGCACUGCAGAGCUCCCACUGCACUCAAGUGGACAGGACUGUUGCUCAACAUGAUAAAGAGAAACAAGCGCUGGAGAAGCAGCUCGAGAAAAGCAUCAGGAAAGUCAGUGACAAUUACAGCUUUGAAAUGAGCACAGACAUCGAAAAGCAGAUCAAGACUUUAACAAGCAAUCACAAAUCAAAGGUGAAGGAGAUGGUGGCCAAUCACGCGCUUGAAUGGGCAGAAAUGAUCAAAUGGCACUCGGCUGAAGAGCAGACUGUGAGAGAGCAGCAUGUGAUUCAACAGUGUGAGACGUUCCGGAAACUCCUGCUGAUGGAGCAUGAGAAGCAAACACAGCAACUCUCGCUUCUCCAUGAGAGACAAAAUAAAGACAUGCGAACCAACCAAGCGAAGACCUCGAUGGAGAGCAGCAAAGCCAUCAGUCAAGACAAAAGCAUAAAGAACAAGGCUGAGAGGGAACGGAGAGUUCGAGAGCUUAACAGCACAAACACAAGGAAGUUUCUUACAGAAAGAAAGAGGCUCGCCAUGAAACAGUCCAAGGAAAGCGAGCAACACCAGGCAGCUCAGCGGGAACAACUGGAGAGGCUGGAGAAACACAAUGAGGAGCUGUUGAACUCGUGCUAUGCAAAAUCACAAUGCCAAGGCCAGAGAGACUGCAGAGAAGACCGAACAGAGCGCUGAAGUGGAGCGAUCAAACCCACGGCUUGCAGACUUUCACAUGCACUAAUGAUCUACCAUAAACAUUGUGUAAAAGCUUGUGAUGUUUCUUAUUUUUGGAUGAAAUCCAUCUGCUCUAUGACUAUGUAAAUUAAAGGACUGUUUAGGGUUCAUUACGGAUGAAGCAGAGACACUCUUGAUGACCACAGAAACAAAAACCACUGCUUCACUUCAGAAAGACAGAGAAAACUUGCACAGACGAGGGAUGGAUUUGGAGAAAAGCAGCCAGGGCAGUGAGGGGGCCGACGCGUGCCUAAAAAUACAGCCGCAUGCCACUCACGAGGUGAAACUUUAAUUAAGACACGAGAUCUUCAUCAUUAUUCCACUCGACUG